rnacentral:rRNA from 1 species
UAGAUACCCUGGUAGUCCAUGCCGUAAACGGUGGGCGCUAGGUGUGAGGGUCUUUUCACGACUUUCGUGCCGUAGCUAACGCAUUAAGCGCCCCGCCUGGGGAGUACGGCCGCAAGGCUAAAACUCAAAGGAAUUGACGGGGGCCCGCACAAGCGGCGGAGCAUGUGGAUUAAUUCGAUGCAACGCGAAGAACCUUACCUGGGCUUGACAUACACCGGAUUGGGCUAGAGAUAGUCUUUCCCUUUGUGGC